GGAACCGGGAGAGUUGAGGAUGGGAGAGGCAGCCUCCAUCUCCUCCUUUUUUCCUCUCUUCCUCCCUGAGCAAACACUGGGUUUUGAAUCCUGGCUCUGCCACUCUCCAGCUGUUGGCUCUGUGCAUAGAAGGCUGAUCUUGAGUUUCUGAAGCUUUAAAAUGGGGAUUAUAGGAGUCAUUUUUACAGGGGUGGGGAGAAGCUUUAUUCAUCAACUCCGCAGGGCUCUGUGGACUGCCUGCUACAUGCCAGGCGCUGCUCCAAGGGAUAGGAAUACAUCAGGGAAUAAAUCAAACAAAAAUUUCUGCCUUCAUGGUUUUUACAUUCUAGAAAAGGGAGACAGGCAAUGAACAAGGUGAUGGGUGAUGUUGGCAGAAAGUAUGUCAGCAGGGAUGCUUAGUGCUGGGAGGAGGGGUGCGCAGCAUCAGAUCAAGUGCUCCGUGACAGGAGGGCUCACUGACAUGCAUGGGGCCAAGCCUGGGGGAUGUAAGGAGAUGAGCUGGUUGGAUACCUGCGGAAAGGCAUUCCAGGCAGAAGGAAUAGCAAGGGCAAAGCCCUGGCUCUGGAGGGGCGCCUAAUUUGUGAAGCUUCAAGGAGGCUUCCAAAUGCCCAUGGACGUACAAUUAUCUAACCAAAAAGAAAAAACAUUUUUUUGUCAACAAGAGACCUCUCCGAGCCUCAACCACGGUUUCCCCCGGGCCGGGCAAACCUGAUGCGCUCUCCAGGUGGCGGUCCCCCGUGCAUGUGGGGCAAGGAGAAGAUUACCUCACCUAUCAGUUGCCUAUCAGCUGCCAAGACUCCUGCUCUUGUUGGCUCUCUAUGGUGAUGCCAGAGCAGUCUCCACACUGCAGACCUCCCCGGGUUGGCCCUCGGCUCAAGACUGGUUCAUGCUUUCUAAAGGAACUUGACUUUGCCUGAAACCUUUCAUUGAUCAUGGGGUCAAUGUCAGCCUUUGAAGCCCACCAUAUGGACAAUAAGAACUUGGGAGCAAACAGAAGACCCAGAUGAGGAAACAAAGCAAAGCUUCAAUUUUUUCUCAAGCCCAUCUCUCAAGUAUCAAUCACAGAUGUGAGCUUCACACCCAGUGCUAGAUUCCAAAAACAUAAAGCUGAAUCAGGCACUGUCUCUACCCUCAAAGAAUUUGCAGACUAGAAGGGAAGAAGAAAAUAAAAAAUUAUGAUUCAGUUUGGUGUCAGGCACUGUGCUGGGGAUAUAGCGGUGGACAAGAAAAACACGGUUGCCCUGCUCGGAGACGGGUGCAUUUCAGGAAGGUUGCUGGACUGAGGGGUCAGCAUUUAAGAAACACAAGUGUGCAUCGGUCUCAGAAACACCCCUCACCAGUAGUCAACCAGCAUUCCAGUUCAAGGCCUAUUUCUUUUGGGUCUUAAAAUCCAAGAUGACUUCCAGGCUCACCCGAGGACCCACUGCAGAGCUUGGGGGAACCUUCAUGAUCUCCUCAAACUAGCAUUUUAGUCCUGGUAGUCCUGGAGACAUGAGCCAGUCUAAAAGGUCGACUUUACCUUUUUGUCCAAGAGGCCGUGGAAUGCUCAUGCCAACAGAUGCUUGGAGAAUGAGGAAACUGAGGGUGAGUGACUUGCCCAUACCACGGAUCCCACGGAUCGAUCCAGUAGGCCGCAACGUUGGAUGUAAGCCAGCCCACGCAGACUCCCUGGCCUGCUGACUCCCCCAUGGGUGACACCGCUCCAUCGCCCCGUUGAUGCUGGGGAGAGUCCCCCUGACUUCUCUGUGUUGACUGGGUUUCCAUUCCUUGAGGCCACACCGUCAGGAGCUGCUGCUGGCCUGCUAUGUCAAAGCAAGAAGACACCCUUCCUGGUGAGGGGCAGCGGCUCCCUCAGCCUGUCAGAGGGACAGUUCAUGCUGUGCUCAGGGUGGAGGCCACAGAGGCCUCGAUAGCACCAGCCUUGACUCUACCUAAAGUCCUCCCCUGGGGACAGGAUUGGUUGUUUGAUGUGUCCUCGAAGGGAACGUGUUUUACUCACCCCCGUGUGGUCCUGGUCCCACGUUCUCAAGGUGAAUGGACUGAAUGGGGGUUGAAAGUCCCACAGAGAAUCUACAGGAUUCCAUUUGACAUUGACUGCAGAUUCCUUCAUUCACCCAGCGUGUGUUCACGGAGGGGCCACAGCGAGCCAGACGCCGUUGGGCGCAGCCAUAGAACAGACACUCCCUGUUCCAGCACGGAGGCUGUCAGCUUUCCAGCAGCUCUGCGUGUUGGCAGCUCUCAGCUGUGUCCCUCUGUGGGAAUGUCCUCAGCUGAAAAGAGUGCCUAGCCCCAGCUUUCACUCCCUCUUUGAGGCAGCCUUUAUCCAAGACAGGUCAAUGGGAGGGUCUGGUCUCAAUUUAAGACAACUCUGAAGGGUCGUCCUCAGCUCAGAGUCUCUAUAGGACCAGCUGAGUCCUGUGUGGCUCCUGCUUUGCAGGUCAACUUCUCCAUGUGUCCAGUCCUGCCCUCCCUGCUGUUGUACAGGGCUCGAUCCCAAAGACUCUCCCCAGGAAACUUCUUACAUGCGCAUCUUCAUUUCCAGGGAUGCCACCUUGCUGGGGAUCCCACCCUGUGACAGUAGUAAGCAAAACAGACAUGAUACCUGUCCUCACAGAGUUUUGAAGCUGGCCUAGUCAUCAGACCUGCCUUUGUUUCUCCCCAAGGCCUAUUCUAGAACAUCCAGGCCCAUUAUAGGUGUGCUCAUGGUGAUGCUUGCCAGUGGUCCAAGCAAAAACCCUUGCAGCCAUGCCAUUCCCUGCAGCCAUAAUUAAGACAAGAACAGGACUGACUUGGCAUCUUGUAAUCAUUCAUAUUUGUUCCAUAAAUCUGAUAUUGAGUGUCCUCUGUGUCCCAGGUCCCUGUGCCAAGGCCAGGGACAGAGAUACGUAAGGUGUAGCUCUUGACUUUGAAGACCAUCGUCUGGACAGGAAGAUGGAUAAGUAACCGGACAGUUGGGGACAUAACCGGAUCAAGGCCCCAGUGAAGUCCUGCAGAGCACUCUGGGAGCUCAGAGGACUUGGUAAUGGCCGAUUUAGGGGACCAGGGAAGGAAUCCCAGAGAAGCAGAAGGAGGGGAGCAGGGUGAGGGUGGUGUUGAUCAGAUAAAGAAGGAGAAAUGAAUUUCAGAUAGAAGAAAUGUGUGCAUCAAAGCACAACUAGGGGUGAGAGAAUGAGCACAUUCGUGUUCAUUAUUCACUAAGCUCCACAACACCCGAACAAGGUUGUCUGCAGGGAUCCUUAUCCCUAUUUUAUAGAGAAGCAGAGGCCCUGGGAGGAUAACUAGCUUGUUAUAUACGGCUGCUGGACUUGAACCCGAGUCCUCUGGUAUCAAAUCGACGGCUCUGUUUAUUGCCCUGGUCAGCAAAUACGGAAUUUUGUUUCCGUGGCCAGUAUGGUGCCCGAUGAGGAUUAAAAGGCAUGGAAUAUCAAGGCUCAACUCCAGAUGUGCUUGCGUAUAGCAUAAACAACAACAACAGCAACGUGAUAAGGUCAUGGGACAAAUGCUGGAAUAAAGGUUCAUGCAAAUGCCCUGGGAUCAUGGCAGAGAUAGGCCCCAGAGAAACGUGCUUAGCCCUGUUUAAUAUUUGGUACCAGUGAUUUGGACAAAGACAUAUAAAGUCCGCUUAUCACAUCUGUGGCUGACAUGCAGCUGGGAGGGAUAGAAAAAAUGAUUGAUGACAAAAUCAAACUUCUAAAUGAUCUCAGUUGGCUGGAACGAUGAGCCAAAUCCAGUGAGAUGGAGUGCAGCAGGGGUCCACGUGAGGGCCAGCAUUUCCCUUCAAACAAUCAAUUGUGCGAGAAUAGGAGGGAGCCCGGCCUGGCCCCCGGCCAUAGGGGAGAGAUGUAGGGACUUCCCCCGGCCUCAAGUCCAACUUACACCCAGUGUUUAAAUUCAAAGUCUAACCAACUAGCACGCUCUCAAGUCUGUGUGAACAUCAUGGUCAGAGCGGUGGCUCACGUUUAGUGGGACAGCUCAUGAAUCAACUUUGAGGGUGGCCUGAUUGGGGUAGGGGUCGGGGAGAGCAUCUUCGGAUGGAGGAGGAAGUUACUUACACACUUCUCCAUUGAACGAUGCUCCCCCUGCACCUACCACCUGGCUGGUCCUGGAUAAUACGGAAUGUUGGUCUAGGACGCACUGGGACCUUGGCCGAAGGACUUGCACUUACAUUCUGCUGUUCAUCUGUUGUGUGACACUGGGAAAGUCACAGAACCCUGCUAGGCUUCAGUAUCCUUCUAGAACGGGCACAUCCAUUGCAAUUUCAAAGAGUCCUGUGAGUAACGAAUGAGAUCACGUAUGUAGAAUGCUAGACACAGGGCUUAGCCCGAAGGCGGUAUUAAAAAAUAAUAGCACAAACUAUUUACCAUCCAGACAAAUCCAGAGACAUCUAUCAACAGGCUGUAGGUCCCCAGGUCCUUUCGACUUAGGUUUAGAAUCAGGCCUUCCGUCUUCAGGUAGGUUUCAGAAGGGAUGAUUUUUCUUUGUGUGAUCAUGCCUUUCUGUUGGAGGUGUGUGUCUGCGUAUGGGUGCCUGCGUGUGUGUGUCUGUGCGUGUGUGUGUUGAAGUGCAGUAGAGUUCAAGACUGUGGAAGGACCCAGCUCUGGAAUCCCUGGAGGCGUUACACAGGUGACAGAGACAGUCAUCCACCUACCGAGUUGCUCCACAGCUCAUCGGGUCCCGGAAGGCACUUGAAUGAGGGUGGCAGGCAAAGCUGUCUUGGGCCCGAUCUCCAAAAUUCAAUCCACUUUGAUUCAAGUUGAUCUUGGGGCCUCUGGGGUCUCAGUUUCCUCAUCUGACAAGUAAGAGGGUUAGAUGAGCCGAGUGCUUCCCAGAGACGCACCCUGGGGAAGAUGCUGCGUGCGUCGAGGUCAGCUCCAGGCCGCUCCCUCCUCAGCUACAGUCCGGCUGCCCCACGUUAGGCUACCAUGGAGAUGAAGCCCCCCUGGCUGUGAGCACCCAGGCAGGGAAAAAAAAAAAAAAAAGUAAUUCAGGCAGGUCCUUUCCGGCUAGGCGCACAGCCAGACUCCAGGGCCGCUGUGCGGAGGGCCCUUCCCCGCUCUGGGGGAAGCGGGCGAGGCUGCCUUCAGCUCAGGUGGUGAUCCCGGGGUAUUGCCCAGGGUAUUGCAGAUUGAGCGAAGUAGUGAGAGUGCACGCUUGCCAUUUGUGUCGACGAGUCUCUUUGAAAUUUUACUUCCGAUGACAGUAUUAAUAAUGAAGUGACAAAAACGAGUUGGAGACUCCAGCUCACUUUGUAUUGCGGUAUCGCACAUGCAGACUUGCCUCGAUUGACAGCGUCUGUCAAGAACAGUGUUAGCCACAGCAUAAAUAAUUAGAUGCAACUUUACACUGUGCUCUCAUUUUAAAAUUUUUAAAAAAUGUCCUUUUUACAUGACACUAUGAGGUUGCCAAUUUUCUUUUUUCUGCAAAAGAUGGCUUUUCUUUCUGAGAUUAUCCUUUUCCCUUUUGAGGAGCUAGAGUGUGAAACUGUCAUCCUUUUAUGAGACGACAUAGCAAGUGAUGGAAGAGGUCUUUAUUUUUAUUUGAAAUUGUUUUUUUAUCGUAUUGCUUGGAAGGAUAAAAGGUUAAUGACCUUGUGAUUAUUUCCCUCUCUAAAAAAACAUUGGCCGGGUCCAGGAAAAUACAAGAAAAAAAAAAAGCCUAAAAACACAUUAAAAAAGAAUUUAUGGAUUAUAUCCCUAAAGGAAGGAGAUAGGUUUAUAAUCAUUAAAUAAAACACAUGGUCGAGAGGGUUAAUUUUGUGUCAACUUGCUUAUGCCACAGGGUGCCCAGAUGUUGGGUCGAACAUCAUGCUGGGUGUUUUGGGAUGACGUUAACAUUUAAAUCAGUGGACUGAGGAAGGAAGAUUGCCUGCCUGCCAUGAUACAGGUGGGCCUUGUUCAAUCAGUUGAAGGCCCGUGGGACUAGAACGGAAAGGA